rnacentral:rRNA from 1 species
ACGCUGGCGGCGUGCUUAACACAUGCAAGUCGAACGAAGAGCGAGAGAAAGCUUGCUUUUUCUACAAUCUAGUGGCAAACGGGUGAGUAACGCGUAAACAACCUGCCCUACGGAUGGGGACAACAGCUGGAAACGGCUGCUAAUACCGAAUACGUUCCGAAAGUCGCAUGACUAUCGGAAGAAAGGAUGGCCUCUAUUUAUAAGCUAUCGCCGGAGGAGGGGUUUGCGUCUGAUUAGCUAGUUGGAGGGGUAACGGCCCACCAAGGCGACGAUCAGUAGCCGGUCUGAGAGGAUGAACGGCCACAUUGGAACUGAGACACGGUCCAGACUCCUACGGGAGGCAGCAGUGGGGAAUCUUCCGCAAUGGGCGAAAGCCUGACGGAGCAACGCCGCGUGAGUGAAGACAGCCUUCGGGUUGUAAAGCUCUGUUAUACGGGACGAAUAAUCUUGUGUUAAUACCCAUAAGAAGUGACGGUACCGUAAGAGAAAGCCACGGCUAACUACGUGCCAGCAGCCGCGGUAAUACGUAGGUGGCAAGCGUUGUCCGGAAUUAUUGGGCGUAAAGGGCGCGCAGGCGGCUUCUUAAGUCUGUCUUAAAAGUGCGGGGCUUAACCCCGUGAUGGGAUGGAAACUGGGAAGCUAGAGUAUCGGAGAGGAAAGCGGAAUUCCUAGUGUAGCGGUGAAAUGCGUAGAUAUUAGGAAGAACACCAGUGGCGAAGGCGACUUUCUGGACGAAAACUGACGCUGAGGCGCGAAAGCCAGGGGAGCGAACGGGAUUAGAUACCCCGGUAGUCCUGGCCGUAAACGAUGGGUACUAGGUGUAGGAGGUAUCGACCCCUUCUGUGCCGGAGUUAACGCAAUAAGUACCCCGCCUGGGGAGUACGACCGCAAGGUUGAAACUCAAAGGAAUUGACG